GGAGGUGAGGUAGGCCCCCACCAUACAACUUCUCCCCUUCCAGCCACCUCCCUGCGGCCUUCUACUGGGUUUCCCAUACCCAAUAUCCACCCCAGCUGGGGUCAGCACAUUUCUGACCAACCCGAUUUGCCUGUCUCUACUCUAGGCCUUUUGCCUCUGGCCCCCCAUGACAAAAGCUGAGGCAUUUGGGGUCAACCACAACAUAGGCCCAAGGCCCUGACAUUAUGCUCUGGGGUGACUACUAUUUUGCCUUAAAUCUCCACUUUGUUGUACUCUUGUUCCUCCACGGAGACCUGGUCAGCUUUCCUCAGACCUGACUUUUCCAUCUUCCAGCACCAGCCUUGGCCUGACCUCUGCUCCCCCAGACCCUGCAUGGGAACUGCAACCCAGCAGAGUUGCUUCUGGUCUCUGUCCAACAUUAAAAUGGUCUAGGGAGGUGUGGAAUUGAGGUUAUUUUGUCUAAGAAGCUUCCUGUACCCUGACCAAUCCCGGUUUUGUUCCAAAUGGAUUAUGGGAGUAAAGGUUGGUAGACAUGGUGUUUACUGUCCCCAUUUUAUCAAGGAUGGAAUUGAGUCUGGAAAAACGAAACAAUUUGCCUAGUCUGGACUUUAACCUAAACCUCUGACUCCAGAUCUCAGGACUUUCCACUAGUAAUUGAUGUUCUUACCACAUUCCCUAUCCGUGUCACAUUUUGGGCAUGUAGCACGCAUGGGCUUGAAUGGUCAGCUGCCUUUCCAUGCAUGUAGGUAGGUCUCUGCCUUUCAUAAGCUCCCUGCAGGAAGGGACUGGAUGACAUCUCUCUGUACUGCCAGGGCCUAGCAGGUGUUAAGCACCUAGUUGUAUCCCCUGCAUUCUAGUUAAACGGUUAAGCCUCUCCCCUGGCUGUCCCCUCUCUUGCUCCCACACCUUCCUUCCAGCUACACUUAAAACAGAGUUUAGUUGUCAGAUGCCCAAAGGCGUGAAGGUCAGAGUACCAAGGUAGGCGUCAUCAGAAAACAGGAAUCAGAGAGAGGAAGGAGCUCCUCUUACUUCUUGAACUUCCUCGAGGGCAGGAUGUUGCCCUUGGCGUCGAGGGGAGGUGCCCUUGCUUCACUCCUCAGCUUGAGUUUCUCCAGCUCCCUCAGUUCCUGCACCGUCCUGACGGUCACCUGGUUUUUCCUGUUGUCGUCCGCGAAGAUGGGAGUACAGCAGAUGAAGGAGCAGCCGCAGAGACAACAAGCUGCCGGCCUCCUCGGACCCCGGACUCUCAUCAGGACACGGUGGCCUGGCCGGAACCCUUCUCUCCGCGCCUGCCCUGCCGUCAGAAGUUAUGUCCGCUCUGUAGGAUUCCUCAGCUUUCGCUCUCUCUCCGUCUGUUGGGUUUUGAUUUCCCUUCUCUCCACUCUUUACUCCACAUCCUCCGCGCUCUGGCUCUCCCGCACCCCUGCCUGGAGCUGGUGCUCCUAAGCCUGAGGAUA